rnacentral:lncRNA from 1 species
CACGUGUGUGGGAGGGAUCGCGAGGAGCAAGCAGGCAUGCAAAGUGCUCCUCCAUUCACACGCAUGCCAUGCACGCACUGAUCGCCCGCGCUUUUCUCUCCCACACCGAUCAACGCGCUCGCGCAACCUGCUCUCGGCCGAUCGCCCGGAUCACUGACGCCGUCGCCGUCGUGUCGCUCGUCCGUCCGUCCGGCCGUCGCCGGCCGUCCACGCAGUCCACCACAUCGCGUUGAUCCGUCCNN